GCCCGAUGCACAGCUUGCAGCCAUAUUGUAGUUCAAGUGACUGCCCAAGAAUGUGAGCACUGGAAUGCCAAAAUGUAUCACAGCCUUCCUUGGUGUCAAAUUUGAACAAUGUCAAAUCACAAUCACCCUCAAGUGGCCUCGUUAUGUCCCAAAGAGUUUCGUUCACUUUAGCUAUCAAAACCUCUGAAGCCAAUCUAACCGAGAUCUCACUAGCGAUGUCUUUUGGUGAUGUUAGCCACUUUUUCCCCUCCUUUAUUGUGCCAUCUGGCAAUUUUAUCUUGAUGGGAUCGCCGCCGAUGCUCUGGUAGUGUGCGAUCUGCUCAGCCUGGAUUUCCUCGAAGCGGCGGAUACGCUUCGGGAGGACGACUUUGAGGUACUCCUCCCCGAACAGCUCGUCGGACAUCGCCGCCGCUUGUGGUCGGAGUUCGGAACAGAGGGAACGAUUGAGGGAGUUGAGGGAUCGGGGAGCCAAAAAGGGAAGGACAGCGAAACCCCGGCAGAGGCGCUGCAGCAUAAAAGUGAGGGAGCAGCGGCGGCGGCGGCGGCGGAUUUCAG
rnacentral:misc_RNA from 1 species